UACUAAAAAGCUUAUACAGCAAUGGGCUUUUAACCCACAGAGGAUAUAUAUUAUCUUUAGUAC
rnacentral:tRNA from 1 species